rnacentral:rRNA from 1 species
GAUGAACGCUGGCGGCGUGCCUAAUACAUGCAAGUCGAGCGAACAGAUGAGGAGCUUGCUCCUCUGACGUUAGCGGCGGACGGGUGAGUAACACGUGGAUAACCUACCUAUAAGACUGGGAUAACUCCGGGAAACCGGAGCUAAUACCGGAUAAUAUAUUGAACCGCAUGGUUCAAUAGUGAAAGACGGUUUUGCUGUCACUUAUAGAUGGAUCCGCGCCGCAUUAGCUAGUUGGUAAGGUAACGGCUUACCAAGGCAACGAUGCGUAGCCGACCUGAGAGGGUGAUCGGCCACACUGGAACUGAGACACGGUCCAGACUCCUACGGGAGGCAGCAGUAGGGAAUCUUCCGCAAUGGGCAAAAGCCUGACGGAGCAACGCCGCGUGAGUGAUGAAGGUCUUCGGAUCGUAAAACUCUGUUAUUAGGGAAGAACAAAUGUGUAAGUAACUAU